rnacentral:pre_miRNA from 1 species
UCACUUGGGGCCUGCUCCACAGCUCACUGAAGUCAAUGGGGGUCCUUCCACUGACUUUAGUGGGCUUUGGAUCAAGCCCUGGA